AUCGUUGUACUUCAUCAAUAUAAAUAAAAAUGUAAAUGUUCAUUUGUUCAAAAUCUUAAAUCUCUGAAAGUUCUUCACUGAUUGCUUUGAAAUUUUGACACAAUGUUGCAUUCGAACACACGCGUGUUUCUAUAUACCUAUAAACCUAUUAUUAUAUAGAUGUCACACCUGUGACAGGUAAAAACAUGUUUUUGAAAAACAGCGCCAUCUGUUGGACGUUAAAGCAA